UUUUGUGAAGGCCUGCCCAAUCUAACUAUUAGUAAAAUUAAUAAAAAAUAAUUUAGCCGCAAAUAAAAUUAGUCACAUGAUGACGUAUUGACCUUUUAUUGGACAAUCUCUUUAGGGAAAGCUCACAGCGCAGCAGCGCCCACACGUGCACGACACAGUGCGCAGUACAGGGAGGAUACCCUUCGAGCCGGCAUUGAACCGAAGCGUUGUGUGCUUGCGUGUCAGCGAGUAAAGUGCCCUUUUUAUUCUUUGAGCACCUGUCCCUCCAAUGGUCUCUGCACGGCCCUG